rnacentral:rRNA from 1 species
CACGUAGGCACCAAGCGUUGUCCGGAUUUAUUGGGCGUAAAGAGCUCGUAGGCGAUUCAGUAAGUCGGGUGUGAAAACUCUGGGCUCAACCCAGAGACGCCACCCGAUACUGCUGUGACUUGAGUACGGUAGGGGAGUGGGGAAUUCCUGGUGUAGCGGUGAAAUGCGCAGAUAUCAGGAGGAACACCAGUGGCGAAGGCGCCACUCUGGGCCGUAACUGACGCUGAGGAGCGAAAGCGUGGGUAGCAAACAGG